rnacentral:rRNA from 1 species
CCUACGGGAGGCACCAGUAGGGAAUCUUCCGCAAUGGACGAAAGUCUGACGGAGCAACGCCGUGUGAGUGAUGAAGGCUUUCGGGUCGUAAAACUCUGUCGUUAGGGAAGAACAAGUGCUAGUUGAAUAAGCUGGCACCUUGACGGUACCUAACCAGAAAGCCACGGCUAACUACGUGCCAGCGGCCGCGGUAAUACGUAGGUGGCAAGCGUUAUCCGGAAUUAUUGGGCGUAAAGCGCGCGCAGGUGGUUUCUUAAGUCUGAUGUGAAAGCCCACGGCUCAACCGUGGAGGGUCAUUGGAAACUGGGAGACUUGAGUGCAGAAGAGGAAAGUGGAAUUCCAUGUGUAGCGGUGAAAUGCGUAGAGAUAUGGAGGAACACCAGUGGCGAAGGCGACUUUCUGGUCUGUAACUGACACUGAGGCGCGAAAGCGUGGGGAGCAAACAGGAUUAGAUACCCUGGUAGUC